UACGGAGGGGGCUAGCGUUGUUCGGAAUUACUGGGCGUAAAGCGCACGUAGGCGGCUUUAUAAGUUAGAGGUGAAAGCCCGGGGCUCAACUCCGGAAUUGCCUUUAAGACUGCAUCGCUCGAAUUGUGGAGAGGUAAGUGGAAUUCCGAGUGUAGAGGUGAAAUUCGUAGAUAUUCGGAAGAACACCAACGGCGAAAGGCACUCUGCUGGGCCGACACUGACACUGGAGAGA
rnacentral:rRNA from 1 species